rnacentral:rRNA from 1 species
GACAGAGGGUGCAAACGUUGUUCGGAAUUACUGGGCGUAAAGCGUGUGUAGGCGGUCUCUUAAGUCGGAUGUGAAAGCCCCGGGCUCAACCCGGGAAGUGCACUCGAAACUGGGAGGCUAGAGUACUGGAGAGGUUGGUGGAAUUCUCGGUGUAGAGGUGAAAUUCGUAGAUAUCGAGAGGAACACCGGUGGCGAAGGCGGCCAACUGGACAGAUACUGACGCUGAGACACGAAAGCGUGGGAGCAACAGGAU